GACUCGGCGGGUGCGCCGCCUGCGGAGGGACUGCCCAGCUGGGUCCCGUCAGGCGGCCGCGCGUGCGGGGGCCGUUGGGAAACGCCGGCUGAGCGGAGGAGCGGCGACGCGCGGCUGCGGGCAGCGCUUCCGCCUGAGGGGGUUGGCGCCCAACAGCCGGCGGGGAUCGAGCGAACGCCGGGCGCCGCUCCGCUUGUGCCGUGCUGUGCUGUGCUGCUGACGUUGUUUCUAACGAAGGAAGAAGCUGCUCUUUACCUCCCAUGCAGCACUACCGCCUUUCCGUUGUUGUUUUUCUUUUUUCUUUCUUUCCCUGACGUUGUAGGGACAGACGUGCCCGAACUAGCAAGGGCGUAUUUCAGGUGGGAGCGUUUCUGGCUUGCUUUCGUUUCCUGCAGUGAACUGUUGUGCCUUUCGCACCGGCUGUCUUUGCGGUGGCUGUGUAGGUGAAAACAAACGAGCACCGCAGUCAGCCUGCACGCAGCCCAUGAAGCAGGCGCCCUGUGGAAACGCCUUCUGUAUAGCCAUUACUCCUGCCUGAGUGUUUCACACCUACCUGGUUCUCGAGAAGUCAGCUGCACAUUGACAUCAACCUCCCUUUGUGGCUCCAGCGACAUAGCAACCAUAAUCUGCAGUGCCAGGAGACUAUGUCUCAGGAGCACAGAGGACUACAUACCUCGGAGGAAUUGUGCCAACUUCUUCCACUGCCAAGCUCAUGGGCACUGAGCUUAAAACGUCUGUGGAACAGAGAUCUUAUGAUAAACACAAGCUUGACGCACCUGUCUGUGUCAUACUAGCAAAAGGCAUAGAAUCAAACCAAGACAAAAAGUAUAUCAAGAAUACAAAUGAACUGCAUACAUAGCUAAAAAUGAAAGAUAUGCUA